UGUCAAUGUGAUAGACACUUCCAUACUAUUUAGACUCCUUGCCAAUAGAUGCCAGACUGAAUUCAACUAGAACUUUUAUUCCUCAGCACUAGAUGGCGCUUCGGGGGAAUGAAAUGAAAUCUGUCCCACACAGCACGUGAUGUGUCCAUAUUUAAACCAAGAAGCAAAUGUUCCUUUUGUUUUAUGAUGAGACAACAUGGCGCGAAGACAACAUGGCGCGCAAGACAACAUGACGUGAAGAAACGUGAAGAGUGAGUGAGACAUAAAGUAGCGAGGGACAGGAAUGAUUUAAAAGACGGGUUACAAGGCUGCAUUUAAAGACACAAUUGCUCUACCUACUAUAAACAGAUCAAUACGGACCAGUCUAAGCUACAAAAAUAUGACCAGAGCGAUGGAAAGGUUUAGUGCAGCUUAUGCUUCAGAAUAUAUACAACUCCUUUGACAACCAUUCGACACACAAAGCACGUUCCUGGAUGUGAUCUGGUUACCACUUUGGUCAAUACACGGACAUACAUCCUACAGACAAACAGCAAGAAAAUAUCGGAAUUAAACCGACACCAUUCGUUAUGAAGGCCUGAACACUGACCUGCAUCUGUGGGCAGUUUAGAUUUAUAGCUCGUUGCCACGUCGUACACACCUGAGCUAUUGGUCUAAACUGCCCACAUGUAGUGACGUUGCAGGUCAGUGAACAGGGCUUCUAUAACGAUUGGCCUCGCUUAAACCCAAACUCAAUUCUUCACUGUCCACAAUCGAGUUCAAAGCCAACACCGACUGCUACUAUAGCUGUUCAUCCAAUCAAAUCUCAGUACAAUGCAGUGGAAUGCAUCAUUUCUGGAGCAUUUAGAUAGAUACAACAUUUAUAUACAGGAACUCAUAACUGUCUCUGGUUCCGAACCGUCAUUCCAACUGCUACAUAUGCAUGUGAGACGUGGAAGUCAUCUGUCAAAAUUGAGAAAAGACUAAAUGUGGCUCAACAGAGAUGGCUGAGACGGAUUUUUGGGAGUCAAGUUACACAGACCGGAUCUCAAACAAGGAAAUCCUAUGCCGAACUGGAAGUCGAACACUUUGUGAGGUUGUGACUGAGCGUCGCAUAAGGUUUGCGGGACAUGUUCUACGUCAAAAUGAAUUACGCACACCAAGAGUUGCGAUAACACGGAAGCCAAAACGAGGAAAGCGCAAACAGGGACGUCCUCGUAUUACCUGGCGACAUACCUUCAUGGUGGAACUCAGAACAGUGGACACCAGGUGGGAGGAGGCUUCAGACAUUGCCAGUGACAGAUCAUUAUGGAGACAGCUUGCCGCCCAAUGCGCCGAACGGCGCGGGAGGACCUAAGUAAGUAAGUAAGUAAGCUUAGCGAAAAGGGGCGCUAAAUGGCUUCCAAGAUAAACAGGAUUAUCCAGAAAAUGUUAAGAAAACUUUUUUUUAUGGAAAAUAUAACUUCAAUUAAUAAUCAUUGUAAGAAAAUUAAUUAUUUCGUUUCUUGAUAAGUCUUAAGAAAUAUUUUAGAAAUAUUUUUAAAAAAUAUUUGCAACAGAACAAAGUUUCCUAAAAGAAUAAUACAUCUCGUUCUAUUGGGCACAGAAAAACCAUUAUCCUAUACAUCUAGUAGACUUAGCACUGACCUAGAUUUUUAGACAACGACUCACCUGUUGAUUAUUUGAAAAGCACGUGAGAAAAAAAUAAAUCCAGAGUCAUCUCUAGCAAAACUGAAAAACCUAAAAAGUAUCUUUAACACAUUUCCGAUGAGCGUAUAGUGUAUGGUGUAUAGAUCUACUCUCUCUGUGUGUGUAUGUAUAUGUCACUAUGUGUCAGAUUACCCACUUUGUUGUUUGUUUAUUCCUGUGUCUGUAAUUUUAAAAUGGACUUGUGACAGGAAAUAACUUCCACGUUUUGCUGAGGAGGGGGGGGGGGAGAGGGGAAUGUAUUCAACUGAACUAGGAUGGCGCUAACAGUUGUCUGCCCUUGUUUUUACGAUGUCUUGCUGCUCUCCCUUGGGUAGUGUCGCUAGUACAAAAAGACCAUAGUAAAUUUGCUUAGCAGACCGUGUCCACAUACCCCCCAACAUUUUUUUUAUUGUUCUUCAAAUUGUACCUGCGUGAGGACUAUUUUGGCCAUGACCAUGUGCCUCUAGGAAUGAGGAGAGGAACAGAGGAGAAGAGCGGAACAGAGAAGGAGACACGUGGAGAAUGGAGAAGAGAAGGCAGUUUGAAGUUCGUGAUGUCUUUACUUAUUUAUUACAAAGCGAAUUUCAACUCUGUCUGGUACACAUGAUGAACACGUUAUUUCUCCCACUUUUUUUCUCGGAUCAAGUUGAAAUUUGUGCUCAAUUAUUCAUCGUCCCUAACAAAAACAAAACAAAACAACAUGAAUCGACAAAAAAAGUAAUUAUUUUAUUAAUUAAUGGUAAUAAAUGGUAAUAAAUACAUUUUGUUUGAUAUAUAUAUAUAUAUAUAUAUAUAUAUAUAUAUAUAUAUA